rnacentral:lncRNA from 1 species
GGACGCCGGACGACGACGACGACGACGACGACGACGACGACGACGACGCAGACGCCAACGUGAUAGCAAUAUACGACGAAAAUUUUUUCAAAAUUUGCGGUCGUAUAAAAAUUAAAGAAUGCAUGUUUUUAUUAAAUGAAAUAUUUCAACUUCUAUGGCUGAUCGCAAACAUGAAAAUAUUCAUGGUUGUAUUUAUAUGCAACUUGGCUACCUUGAAUAAAUAUCAGUUUAUAAGGUUGACAAAUGUUUUUUAAUGGCUAAAUAGAGCAAAACAAUAAAACAAUAUGGAUUUUGCCUCAUUGUAUAUUGAUUUUUUUUAGAUUCCGUCUGCAGUGAUAUAUGGUGAAAAUGACAGAAGAAACGACAAUUUACUUCCAAAUCUACAGAAACUUCCAAAAGCAAGUCUAUAUAAAGUGAAGGAUGCUAGACAUGCAGCUUAUUUGGACCAACCUGAAGAGUUUCAUAAAAUCUUAUACAACUUUCUGAGAUCCCUGGAAGCAGUUGAAAAUUCUGACUAGAUUUAUAUAAACUCAACAUUUUCAUUGAACAUUGAAAAUAGUAGAUUAUACCAAAUAGAUUAAAGUGUUGUUUUUUAACUUAUGAACUUUAAAAUCGUUUGCAGGAAUGAAUUUUGAAUACUUAUUAUUUCAUUGCCAUCAAUACCUUUUUACUUAACAUGGUAUGUAAUGCCUUUCAUUUUAAAACAUAUGCAUAUUUUGUAAGUUUUAAAAUAACCUCAAUGAAAGGGACAUAGACAAUUUGCAGCAGUGAAGCUUACAAGUACAUAUUAUGAAUAUGAUACAUCGGUUGCAUUCAAUUCUAAUUUACAUUGAGGGAUAGGUGCAAUUCUUUAUAAAAGAUUUAAAAGAAUUAGAGAUCAUAUAUGC